GGAGACCUGCUGCCAGCUCCUGGUUGACUGAAGAGUUUUGAAGGCUUCUGGUGAACCAGGAGAACCACGACAAGACCAGCCCGACCUGCCACGGCUGGAAAUACCUGCUGGGCGACCUCGGGUAAGAAACCAAAACAGCUCAGAUGUCAGUGCUGGAACCAGUACACUUCUGCCGAAAUAAUGUCUCCCCCCACCCCCCAACCGGAGCAAUGGAUAGCAUCAAAGAGACUCUUAACAAAGGGCUUUAUACCCAUUUAAAAGACUCAGACAAAGAGAGGAGCAAGAAAUAACGGAACCGGUGCUUUGUUUUCUGCUUCUUGUUGGGGAGGUUGAGGUUUUAAAUGCGUGCUCGGUAGGUGUUAAAAGCACUUCUUGUUUGGCUCGUAACAAACUACAACACGUUCCUGCUGCAAACAACCCAAAGCCCUCCCGGUCUGCUUCCUUCCCCCAGCCCUAACCCUAACCUGUGCUCCAUGGGUAAGCAGAAGGCCAAAGAGACGCGAAGGGUGGGAUACUCAGAAAGGCAUCAUGGUUGCUUGCUGCUAAUGCUGCUGCAGCCGCCUUGGGCUGUAAUAUCUGAUGCUACAGAUGCCAGGAGUCAAGUCAGCACCUGGUGCGGCGUCAAGAGAGACUUGGAAGAAUUGGAGGGCCUGGGUUUAGCACAGAGCCCUCCCGUCCCGGAUCAAAAUUCAAAUGCAGGCGGUUCAGACAAGGCCAGAUUCCCCUGGUGCGGACGCUCGCACUCCCAAAUACACGCCGCUUU